rnacentral:rRNA from 1 species
GCCUACAGCCACACCACCCUGAAAGCACCUGAUUUUGGAAGCUAAGCAGGGCCAGGCCUGCUUAGUACAUGGAUGGGAGACUGCCUGUGAAUACCAGGUGUUAUAGGCU